rnacentral:rRNA from 1 species
GAUGAACGCUAGCGGCAGGCUUAAUACAUGCAAGUUGAGGGGCAGCAUGAUAUACGCGAGUAUAUUGAUGGCGACCGGCGGACGGGUGAGUAAUAGGUAGGAGACCUACCUCAUACAGGGGGAUAGCAUAGAGAAAUCUGUGGUAAUACCCCAUGAGGUUAUAUGAAUAGAGGCAUAUAAUCAAAGCAUAAGCGAUUAUGCGGUAUGAGAGGGGCCUACUGACCAUUAGCUAGUUGGUGAGGUAAGGGCUCACCAAGGCGAAGAUGGUUAGGGGUUUUGAGAGAGAGACCCCCCACAUUGGAACUGAGAGACGGUCCAGACUCCUACGGGAGGCAGCAGUAGGGAAUAUUGGGCAAUGGGCGAAAGCCUGACCCAGCCAUGCCGCGUGAAGGAAGACGGCCUUAUGGGGUUGUAAACUUCUUUACUACGCGAAUAGAGGUUAGUACGAGAUACUAAAUAGGAAGGUAGUGUAGUAAAAGCACCGGCUAACUCCGUG